GGCCUAAUGGUCUAGUAGUAUGAUUCUCGCUUUGGGUUAUCUAAUGCGAGAGGUCCUGGGUUCAAUUCCCAGUUGGGCCC